GAAAAGCUAUAUUACAAAUUGAAUACAUUUUAGUAAAGUGUGAAUUGGGUUUUUCUGAUCUAAAUCCAACAGUAAUACUCAUCUGAUGAUGCUGUAUCGAGUCACACUUUUCUAACACUUCCUUAAUAACAAAGUCAAGUAAGGCCAAAGACCCUACUUAAUGGUAAAGAUCCUUAGAGUAUACAUUUUUUUGACGCAACAAGUACGAAAAAAAAACAAUAACCGCAUUCCCCAUGAGUAAGAGUCAUGAGACAUCACAAAUUUUAACGUAAGUAACAUCAUUACCAGUUUGGAACUCAAAUACGACGGAUAGAAUGAGAACCUACUCCCUGAUAUUCUUCAUCAUAAACGAAGUGCUCCUAGUCAAGGGACAAUAUAACGAGCACAAUACUAAUCCUCAAUUAAAACACUUUGGAACACCAUUAAUUGAUAAUUCUUAUAAGCAACUUUAUGCAGUUUUAGGAACUCCCAUUCGUCUUCCACAGGAAAGUAUGCCUAAGGAAAAGCGUUUCAAAAGAAGUAGCUUAGGUGGAAAACUAUAUUACGAUCACAAGGGUAAACCAAGAACAAGAAAGAAGCCACGGAUUCGAGUGAACAGACAAAUGGAAAAUGCUCAAAAAAAUUGGUUUUGGAACUUAUUUUCAUAACGAAGGUUUACCAGCGAAAAAUUUCAUCAGACCAUGUAAAUAUAAGUCCGUUUGUGAAUAAUUGACCUCACUUCUGGAAAAAAACCCAGUGGUUACUCAUGAAAUUUUAUAACUAAUAAAGAGCUAUUGCGAUCUAAAACUUCUUGGGUCAUUCUUGAUUUUUUUUGUAUUUUAAUUGCAGGAUUUUCUUUAGUUAUUGAACUUCCACUGUUUUUAAGUUUCAAAAUUUCACCUUAUAAUUUUUUAAGGAUCUUUGAUCAUCUUAAAAAAGGAUAAUAUAUACAAAUCAAAUUUCUCUGCGAAGACCAGCUUCACCUGAGACGCACUUAAGAUCAAUGAUCGAGAAAUCACCUCAAACUUAUCUCGGUGCUUUUCCGCUGUCCUCAACUUGUUAAUAAGAUGGAAAAACAUGAUAACAUCUUAAUUGACCAAUCGCAAUUGGUACACGCA